AGCAGCCGCGGUAAUUCCAGCUCCAAUAGCGUAUAUUAAAGUUGUUGCAGUUAAAAAGCUCGUAGUUGAAUUUCGGAAUCUGUCCGUUGGUCGGGCUUAAUUGUCCGUACUGAUGUGAUGGGUUCUUACCUUCUGAAUAACCAGCAUGUCAUUAAUUUGGUGUGUUGGGGAAGCAGGACUAUUACCUUGAAAAAAUUAGAGUGCUCAAAGCAGGCUAGUGCCUGAAUACAUUAGCAUGGAAUAAUAAAAUAGGACGGCAUGGUUCUAUUUUGUUGGUUUCUAGGAUCACCGUAAUGAUUAAUAGGGAUAGUUGGGGGCAUUAGUAUUCAAUUGUCAGAGGUGAAAUUCUUGGAUUUAUUGAAGACUAACUUCUGCGAAAGCAUUUGCCAAGGAUGUUUUCAUUAAUCAAGAACGAAAGUUAGGGGAUCGAAGACGAUCAGAUACCGUCGUAGUCUUAACCAUAAACUAUGCCGACUAAGGAUCGGACGAUGUUAAUUUUAUAAUGACUCGUUC
rnacentral:rRNA from 1 species